UACGAGGGGUGCAAGCGUUAUUCGGAUUCAUUGGGCGUAAAGGGUGCGUAGGUGGUUUCUUAAGUCAGAGGUGAAAGGCUACGGCUCAACCGUAGUAAGCCUUUGAAACUGGGGAACUUGAGUGCAGGAGAGGAGAGUGGAAUUCCUAGUGUAGCGGUGAAAUGCGUAGAUAUUAGGAGGAACACCAGUUGCGAAGGCGGCUCUCUAGUACGUGACUGACGCUGAGACGCGAAAGCGUGGGGAGCGAACAGG
rnacentral:rRNA from 1 species